rnacentral:rRNA from 1 species
UACGUAGGGUGCGAGCGUUGUCCGGAGUUACUGGGCGUAAAGAGCUCGUAGGCGGUGUGUCGCGUCGGCCGUGAAAUCCUGCUGCUUAACGGUGGGCUUGCGGUCGAUACGGGCAGACUAGAGUUCGGUAGGGGAGACUGGAAUUCCUGGUGUAGCGGUGAAAUGCGCAGAUAUCAGGAGGAACACCGGUGGCGAAGGCGGGUCUCUGGGCCGAUACUGACGCUGAGGAGCGAAAGCGUGGGGAGCGAACAGG